UACAGAGGUCUCAAGCGUUGUUCGGAUUCAUUGGGCGUAAAGGGUGCGUAGGCGGCGCGGUAAGUCUGGAGUGAAAUUCCGGGGCUCAACUCCGGAGCUGCUUUGGAUACUGUCUUUCUAGGGACCGGUAGAGGCCGGUGGAAUUCCCGGUGUAGCGGUGGAAUGCGUAGAGAUCGGGAAGAACACCCGUGGCGAAGGCGGCCGGCUGGGCCGGAUCCGACGCUGAGGCGCGAAAGCGUGGGGAGCAAACAGG
rnacentral:rRNA from 1 species